UUAACUCAAAUUUGUAUGGAGUUGGAGCAGUUUGGCUACGUUUGCCACUAGGGGCGCUGUUCCAACUCCAUACAAUUUUAAGUUA
rfam:Bombyx mori DNA, contig: Bm_scaf25_contig16768, strain: p50T/Dazao, build 2, whole genome shotgun sequence.